CGCGUAGGCGGCUAUUUAAGUCUGAUGUGAAAUCCCCGGGCUCAACCUGGGAAUGGCAUCGGAUACUGGGUAGCUAGAGUGCAGUAGAGGAAGGUGGAAUUCCAGGUGUAGCGGUGAAAUGCGUAGAGAUCUGGAGGAACACCAGUGGCGAAGGCGGCCUUCUGGACUGACACUGACGCUGAGGUGCGAAAGCGUGGGGAUCAAACA
rnacentral:rRNA from 1 species